GGGUUGUGAGGUUAAGCGACUAAGCGUACACGGUGGAUGCCCUGGCAGUCAGAGGCGAUGAAGGACGUGCUAAUCUGCGAUAAGCGUCGGUAAGGUGAUAUGAACCGUUAUAACCGGCGAUUUCCGAAUGGGGAAACCCAGUGUGUUUCGACACACUAUCAUUAACUGAAUCCAUAGGUUAAUGAGGCGAACCGGGGGAACUGAAACAUCUAAGUACCCCGAGGAAAAGAAAUCAACCGAGAUUCCCCCAGUAGCGGCGAGCGAACGGGGAGCAGCCCAGAGCCUGAAUCAGUGUGUGUGUUAGUGGAAGCGUCUGGAAAGGCGCGCGAUACAGGGUGACAGCCCCGUACACAAAAAUGCACAUGCUGUGAGCUCGAUGAGUAGGGCGGGACACGUGGUAUCCUGUCUGAAUAUGGGGGGACCAUCCUCCAAGGCUAAAUACUCCUGACUGACCGAUAGUGAACCAGUACCGUGAGGGAAAGGCGAAAAGAACCCCGGCGAGGGGAGUGAAAAAGAACCUGAAACCGUGUACGUACAAGCAGUGGGAGCACGCUUAGGCGUGUGACUGCGUACCUUUUGUAUAAUGGGUCAGCGACUUAUAUUCUGUAGCAAGGUUAACCGAAUAGGGGAGCCGAAGGGAAACCGAGUCUUAACUGGGCGUUAAGUUGCAGGGUAUAGACCCGAAACCCGGUGAUCUAGCCAUGGGCAGGUUGAAGGUUGGGUAACACUAACUGGAGGACCGAACCGACUAAUGUUGAAAAAUUAGCGGAUGACUUGUGGCUGGGGGUGAAAGGCCAAUCAAACCGGGAGAUAGCUGGUUCUCCCCGAAAGCUAUUUAGGUAGCGCCUCGUGAAUUCAUCUCCGGGGGUAGAGCACUGUUUCGGCAAGGGGGUCAUCCCGACUUACCAACCCGAUGCAAACUGCGAAUACCGGAGAAUGUUAUCACGGGAGACACACGGCGGGUGCUAACGUCCGUCGUGAAGAGGGAAACAACCCAGACCGCCAGCUAAGGUCCCAAAGUCAUGGUUAAGUGGGAAACGAUGUGGGAAGGCCCAGACAGCCAGGAUGUUGGCUUAGAAGCAGCCAUCAUUUAAAGAAAGCGUAAUAGCUCACUGGUCGAGUCGGCCUGCGCGGAAGAUGUAACGGGGCUAAACCAUGCACCGAAGCUGCGGCAGCGACGCUUAUGCGUUGUUGGGUAGGGGAGCGUUCUGUAAGCCUGCGAAGGUGUGCUGUGAGGCAUGCUGGAGGUAUCAGAAGUGCGAAUGCUGACAUAAGUAACGAUAAAGCGGGUGAAAAGCCCGCUCGCCGGAAGACCAAGGGUUCCUGUCCAACGUUAAUCGGGGCAGGGUGAGUCGACCCCUAAGGCGAGGCCGAAAGGCGUAGUCGAUGGGAAACAGGUUAAUAUUCCUGUACUUGGUGUUACUGCGAAGGGGGGACGGAGAAGGCUAUGUUGGCCGGGCGACGGUUGUCCCGGUUUAAGCGUGUAGGCUGGUUUUCCAGGCAAAUCCGGAAAAUCAAGGCUGAGGCGUGAUGACGAGGCACUACGGUGCUGAAGCAACAAAUGCCCUGCUUCCAGGAAAAGCCUCUAAGCAUCAGGUAACAUCAAAUCGUACCCCAAACCGACACAGGUGGUCAGGUAGAGAAUACCAAGGCGCUUGAGAGAACUCGGGUGAAGGAACUAGGCAAAAUGGUGCCGUAACUUCGGGAGAAGGCACGCUGAUAUGUAGGUGAAGCGACUUGCUCGUGGAGCUGAAAUCAGUCGAAGAUACCAGCUGGCUGCAACUGUUUAUUAAAAACACAGCACUGUGCAAACACGAAAGUGGACGUAUACGGUGUGACGCCUGCCCGGUGCCGGAAGGUUAAUUGAUGGGGUUAGCGCAAGCGAAGCUCUUGAUCGAAGCCCCGGUAAACGGCGGCCGUAACUAUAACGGUCCUAAGGUAGCGAAAUUCCUUGUCGGGUAAGUUCCGACCUGCACGAAUGGCGUAAUGAUGGCCAGGCUGUCUCCACCCGAGACUCAGUGAAAUUGAACUCGCUGUGAAGAUGCAGUGUACCCGCGGCAAGACGGAAAGACCCCGUGAACCUUUACUAUAGCUUGACACUGAACAUUGAGCCUUGAUGUGUAGGAUAGGUGGGAGGCUUAGAAGUGUGGACGCCAGUCUGCAUGGAGCCGACCUUGAAAUACCACCCUUUAAUGUUUGAUGUUCUAACGUUGACCCGUAAUCCGGGUUGCGGACAGUGUCUGGUGGGUAGUUUGACUGGGGCGGUCUCCUCCUAAAGAGUAACGGAGGAGCACGAAGGUUGGCUAAUCCUGGUCGGACAUCAGGAGGUUAGUGCAAUGGCAUAAGCCAGCUUGACUGCGAGCGUGACGGCGCGAGCAGGUGCGAAAGCAGGUCAUAGUGAUCCGGUGGUUCUGAAUGGAAGGGCCAUCGCUCAACGGAUAAAAGGUACUCCGGGGAUAACAGGCUGAUACCGCCCAAGAGUUCAUAUCGACGGCGGUGUUUGGCACCUCGAUGUCGGCUCAUCACAUCCUGGGGCUGAAGUAGGCCCCAAUAAAGUGGUACGCGAGCUGGGUUUAGAACGUCGUGAGACAGUUCGGUCCCUAUCUGCCGUGGGCGCUGGAGAACUGAGGGGGGCUGCUCCUAGUACGAGAGGACCGGAGUGGACGCAUCACUGGUGUUCGGGUUGUCAUGCCAAUGGCACUGCCCGGUAGCUAAAUGCGGAAGAGAUAAGUGCUGAAAGCAUCUAAGCACGAAACUUGCCCCGAGAUGAGUUCUCCCUGACCCUUUAAGGGUCCUGAAGGAACGUUGAAGACGACGACGUUGAUAGGCCGGGUGUGUAAGCGCAGCGAUGCGUUGAGCUAACCGGUACUAAUGAACCGUGAGGCUUAACCUUACAACGCCGAAGCUGUU
rnacentral:rRNA from 1 species